rnacentral:rRNA from 1 species
GACAGAGGUGCCAAGCGUUAGGCGGAAUCACUGGGCUUAAAGCGUGUGUAGGCGGAUUGUUAAGUAUCUUGUGAAAUCCCACGGCUCAACCGUGGAACUGCUGGGUAUACUGGCGAUCUUGAGCCACCUAGGGGCGAGCGGAACAAGCGGUGGAGCGGUGAAAUGCGUAGAUAUCGCUUGGAACGCCAAUGGUGAAAACAGCUCGCUGGGGGUGUGCUGACGCUGAGACACGAAAGCCAGGGGAGCGAACGGG